rnacentral:rRNA from 1 species
AACGAACGCUGGCGGCAUGCCUAACACAUGCAAGUCGAACGAGAACUUCGGGUCCAGUGGCGCACGGGUGCGUAACGCGUGGGAACCUGCCCUUAGGUUCGGCCUAACUCUCCGACAGGGGUGAUAAUACCGGAUAAUGUCUUCGGCCCAAAGAUUUAUCGCCCUUGGUUGGGCCAUAGUUGGAUUAGCUAGUUGUUAGGGUAAUAGCCUACUACGGCGACGAUCCAUAGCUGGUCUGAGAGGAUGAUCAGCGACACUGGGACUGAGACACGGCCCAGACUCCUACGGGAUGCAGCAGAGGGGAAUGUUGGACAAUGGGCGAAAGCCUGAUCCAGCAAUGCCGCGUGAGUGAUGAAGUCCUUAGGGUUGUAAAGCGCUUUUACCCGGGAUGAUAAUGACGGUACCGGGAGAAUAAGCUCCGGCUAACUCCGUG